UGACCUACGGGAGGCAGCAGUGCGGGAUAUUGGACAAUGGGGGGAACCCUGAUCCAGCGACGCCGCGUGAGUGAAGAAGUAUUUCGGUAUGUAAAGCUCUGUCAGCAGGGAAGAAAGAAAUGACGGUACCUGACCAAGAAGCCCCGGCUAACUACGUGCCAGCAGCCGCGGUAAUACGUAGGGGGCAAGCGUUAUCCGGAUUUACUGGGUGUAAAGGGAGCGUAGGUGGCAGGGCAAGUCAGAUGUGAAAACCCGGGGCUCACCCCCGGGAGGGCAUUUGAAACUGUCCAGCUGGAGUGCAGGAG
rnacentral:rRNA from 1 species